UGCAGCACCGCAACCCGAUC
rnacentral:misc_RNA from 1 species